UGGAUUGUCCUGCUUCAUCUUCAGCUUCUUUCUUUUGACAUCUGGAGUAUGUUUCAUACGCUCACCAGCAACGGUCUCAAAACCCCUGACACUAAUACAUCCAUCUUUAUUGUGUGUUGCAAUAACAGAACUAUAAAACUUUGAAUGCCCAUCUGAUUGAUAGAUCCCUAAAUCAUUAGAGGUGCACCAUAUCUUCAUUUCAUCUGGAUGUAUAUUUAUAUUAACACACUCUGAACUCUUCCAUGUAUGAAUUGCAUUGUCUCGAACACCGUUACUCUUACCAAG